GGCAGAGAAGCCACCUGAAGCCAUGCUGUGUGCAGUGCCCUAUUUAGGAAGACGCUAUUCACAUAUACUGUAUUAUGAAGUGUGCCUUUCUGAAUAGUGUAAUGCUCAACGAGUACAACUUCUGUGGUGGCUGAAGUCCCUGAGG